UGAAUACGAGAUGCUACGGCAUCGAAGCAGUCUAUGUCAUACUUCCAAGAAAAGCUUGCACUGUCAUAAACAAAUAAUGCCUGUACCAUAACCGACACAGGUGGGUAGGUAGAGUAUACUAAGGGGCGCGAGAUAACUCUCUCUAAGGAACUCGGCAAAAUGACUCCGUAACUUCGGGAGAAGGAGUGCCUUAUUUUAUAAGGUUGCAAUAACAAGAUCCAAGCAACUGUUUACCAAAAACACAGGUCUCCGCUAAGUCGUAAGACGAUGUAUGGGGGCUGACGCCUGCCCAGUGCCAGAAGGUUAAAGAAGUUGGUUAGCAUUAGCGAAGCUGAUAACUGAAGCCCUGGUGAACGGCGGCCGUAACAAUAACGGUCCUAAGGUAGCGAAAUUCCUUGUCGGGUAAGUUCCGACCCGCACGAAAGGCGUAAUGAUUUGGAUACUGUCUCGGAGAGGGGCUCGGUGAAAUAGACUUGUCUGUGAAGAUGCGGACUACCUGCACCAGGACAGAAAGACCCUAUGAAGCUUUACUGUAACUUGAGAUUGAAAUUGGACUUUAUUUGCGCAGUAUAGGUGGGAGACGUUGAAAAUAUUCUUGCGGGAAUAUUGGAGUCAUCAGUGAGAUACCACUCUUAUAAUGUUAGAUUUCUAACUUUGUAUCAUUAUCUGGUCAAAGAACAGUCUCAGGCGGGCAGUUUGACUGGGGCGGUCGCCUCCCAAACGGUAACGGAGGCGCACAAAGGUUUCCUCUGAACGUGUAGAAAUCGUAUCUAGAGUGUAAAGGCAUAAGGAAGCUUGACUGUGAGACCUACAAGUCGAGCAGGGACGAAAGUCGGUCUUAGUGAUCUGACGGUGCUGAGUGGAAAGGCCGUCACUCAACGGAUAAAAGUUACUCUAAGGAUAACAGGCUGAUCUCCCCCAAGAGCUCACAUCGACGGGGAGGUUUGGCACCUCGAUGUCGGCUCAUCGCAUCCUGGGGCGGUAGUACGUCCCAAGGGUUGGGCUGUUCGCCCAUGAAAGCGGUACGCGAGCUGGGUUCAGAACGUCGUGAGACAGUUCGGUCCAUAUCCGGUGUAGGCGUUAGAAUAUUGAGAGGAGCCUUCUUUAGUACGAGAGGACCGAGAAGGACAUACCUCUGGUGUACCAGUUAUCGUGCCAACGGUAAACGCUGGGUAGCUAUGUAUGGAGAGGAUAACCGCUGAAAGCAUCUAAGUGGGAAGCCCACCUCAAGAUAAG
rnacentral:rRNA from 1 species